rnacentral:rRNA from 1 species
GAUGAACGCUGGCGGCGUGCCUAAUACAUGCAAGUCGAGCGAACGGACGAGAAGCUUGCUUCUCUGAUGUUAGCGGCGGACGGGUGAGUAACACGUGGAUAACCUACCUAUAAGACUGGGAUAACUUCGGGAAACCGGAGCUAAUACCGGAUGAUAUUUUGAACCGCAUGGUUCAAAAGUGAAAGACGGUCUUGCUGUCACUUAUAGAUGGAUCCGCGCUGCAUUAGCUAGUUGGUAAGGUAACGGCUUACCAAGGCAACGAUGCAUAGCCGACCUGGGAGGGUGAUCGGCCACACUGGAACUGAGACACGGUCCAGACUCCUACGGGAGGCAGCAGUAGGGAAUCUUCCGCAAUGGGCGAAAGCCUGACGGAGCAACGCCGCGUGAGUGAUGAAGGUCUUCGGAUCGUAAAACUCUGUUAUUAGGGAAGAACAUAUGUGUAAGUAGCUGUGCACAUCUUGACGGUACCUAAUCAGAAAGCCACGGCUAACUACGUG